rnacentral:rRNA from 1 species
UAGGGAAUAUUGCACAAUGGGCGAAAGCCUGAUGCAGCGACGCCGCGUGCGCGAAGAAGGUCUUCGGAUCGUAAAGCGCUUUUCUGGUAGAUGAGAAAGGACAGUAUCCCAGGAAUAAGUCUCGGCUAACUACGUGCCAGCAGCCGCGGUAACACGUAGGAGGCGAGCGUUAUCCGGAUUCACUGGGCGUAAAGCGCGUGCAGGCGGUUCGGUAAGUUGGGCGUGAAAUCUCCCGGCUCAACUGGGAGAGGUCGUUCAAUACUACCGAACUUGAGAGCGAUAGAGGAAAAUGGAAUUCCCGGUGUAGUGGUGAAAUGCGUAGAUAUCGGGAGGAACACCAGUGGCGAAAGCGAUUCUCUGGAUCGUUUCUGACGCUCAGACGCGAAAGCUAGGGUAGCAAACG